rnacentral:rRNA from 1 species
UAGGGAAUCUUCCACAAUGGACGCAAGUCUGAUGGAGCAACGCCGCGUGAGUGAAGAAGAUCUUCGGAUCGUAAAACUCUGUUGUUAGAGAAGAACACGAGUGAGAGUAACUGUUCAUUCGAUGACGGUAUCUAACCAGCAAGUCACGGCUAACUACGNGCCAG